UUUAUUUUAUGUGUAUGUACUUACCCACGAGUAUAAUCGGCACAUUGGGACAGUGCGCUUUGAGUUCUGGAUGCCAUUUACUCGCUACAUUUUCGAAAGAACUACGAGCGCUUAUGGAAAAACAGAUCAAGAAACAGUCAGUCUGCAAUAGAGAAGAAUUACACGAAUGUAUGUGCAUCAGUACAUUCGAAGAAAGAAUUUUUUGAGAAGAUCAAAUUUAUCAAAAGAUUAAUCUUCUUGAAUUGAAAACAUUAAAAACAUUGAAAAUUAUACUUGAUUUAUCACGUACAUUUGGAUACGAUAAUGGCCUAAGUCGCUCGUAAUCUUCUUGGCCAGCUGUAUCCCAUAAUGUCAUUUCAAAUUGUUGUCCACCCACACAUAUGUUAUCGACGUAGUUAUCGAAACUGCAAAAAAAUACAGCUCCAUUUCAACUUUCUGUUCUCCGGAAGUUCGAAGGUGUAAUUCAUAUUUUUUAAACUGUGAAAAGAAGAUAACGCAGGUGCAUUCAUCAGUCAUUGUAUGGCACCACGACUAUCGUUACACACGCCGUAUCGCAUAUCAAUGAAAUGAGACGACCGUUUCAUUCCUGUUUUAAUAUCAACGAUUUUACUACGCAAAGAUUGUCCAUAAACGUGAUUCUUGGAGGAAAGCAUUGCGCGUUUCAAUUUCUACAAUGGGUACACAGAUGUUCUAUCUGUAUCACGAUCAAUUCAUUUGCCUGAAGGAAGAUACAUUUAUUCGCAAGGGUUCUUCAUACACCGGGGUUAACGGAACUUGCUGCUAGCAUUUCUUAUCGAGUGCAUUAUCAUCACGUUGUCCGGUCGAGUUCUUCAGUUGCAAUGAUCUGCCUGAAUAGAAACGAUUAUGAUCGUCGAAAUAUCAGCGAAAACGAAGGUAACUGCCCCGACUGACUCAUCACACUAUGGGAUGUAGCAAUUGCUUAAUUAAAACACGCGUGCAAACUGGAGUCAUGUUUCCUAAUUUGUGUUACGACCCGCCCCGAUGACACCGAGGUCAAUAUACUCUUGUGACAAUUUCAAUUCGCAUGUCGAGACUAAAGAACGAGAAAACUCAGUUUUCUCUUUCUCAUUUUUUCUACAGAUACGCUCCUUUCUCUUUGCAUAAUUAAACGAUAUUCUUGCGAAAUAAAUUCCAUCGCUUUUUCGUCACGAAAUAUGAACGAAUUACUCACCGUAAGGUACGUCAUACGUGAAGAAAAUAUGCGUUAAUCAGCGACACUGAAAACAUUUCGCACUACUUCGGAGAUACAGUACGUACCUCGCGCACACACAUCCACAAUACUUGAACAA